UGGGGAAUUUUGCGCAAUGGGGGAAACCCUGACGCAGCAACGCCGCGUGGAGGAUGAAGUCUCUUGGGACGUAAACUCCUUUCGAUCGGGACGAUUAUGACGGUACCGAGAGAAGAAGCCCCGGCUAACUUCGUGCCAGCAGCCGCGGUAAUACGAGGGGGGCAAGCGUUGUUCGGAAUUAUUGGGCGUAAAGGGUGCGUAGGCGGUUCGGUAAGUCUUGUGUGAAAUCUUCGGGCUCAACUCGAAGUCUGCACGAGAAACUGCCGGGCUUGAGUGUGGGAGAGGUGAGUGGAAUUUCCGGUGUAGCGGUGAAAUGCGUAGAUAUCGGAAGGAACACCUGUGGCGAAAGCGGCUCACUGGACCAUAACUGACGCUGAUGCACGAAAGCUAGGGGAGCAAACAGGAUUAGAUACCCCUGUAGUCC
rnacentral:rRNA from 1 species